UACAGAGGGUGCAAGCGUUAAUCGGAAUUACUGGGCGUAAAGCGUGCGUAGACGGUUACAUAAGUCGGGUGUGAAAGCCCCGGGCUCAACCUGGGAAUUGCAUUCGAGACUGCGUAGCUAGGGUGCGGAAGAGGGAAGCGGAAUUUCCGGUGUAGCGGUGAAAUGCGUAGAUAUUGGGAAGAACACCGGUGGCGAAAGCGCUCUGCUGGACCUGCACUGACACUGAGGGACGAAAGCUAGGGGAGCGAAAGGG
rnacentral:rRNA from 1 species